UACGUAGGGGGCAAGCGUUGUCCGGAUUUAUUGGGCGUAAAGAGCGUGUAGGCGGCCAGGUAGGUCUGCUGUGAAAACUCGAGGCUUAACCUCGAGCUGUCGGCGGAAACCAUCUGGCUAGAGUCCGGAAGAGGAGAAUGGAAUUCCCGGUGUAGCGGUGAAAUGCGUAGAUAUCAUGAGGAAUACCAGAGGCGAAGGCGGCUACCUGGACAAUUGCUGACGCUCAGGCACGAAAGCGUGGGGAGCAAAAGGG
rnacentral:rRNA from 1 species